CUUGUACCAAUAGAAAUCGAAAUCGGCAGAGGCAGGGUGACGACGAAAAGGCUUUUCAUUAGGCUGAAGAAGCCUAUUUCCAUGAAAGAAAGGAGUCUAAAACCAUAAGAAGAGAAGAUGAAGGACGGAGUAGUGUCUUUUCCAACAAAGUAUGAAGCUGGCUGACAGCAAAGAAGGAAGGAAGGGGGAGACAUUGGUUCUAUGGGGUAAGAACUCGGGUGAGUAGGCUUCAAGUAUAGCUUGCCAAGGUCGCGAAAUGCAACAAGAAGAAGGGACCGCGAUG
rnacentral:lncRNA from 1 species